rnacentral:rRNA from 1 species
CCUACGGGUGGCAGCAGUAGGGAAUAUUGCUCAAUGGGGGAAACCCUGAAGCAGCAACGCCGCGUGGAGGAUGAAGGUUUUCGGAUUGUAAACUCCUUUUGUUAGAGAAGACAAUGACGGUAUCUAACGAAUAAGCACCGGCCAACUCCGUCCCAGCAGCCGCGGCAACACGGAGGGCGCAAGCGUUAUUCGGAAUUACGGGGCGGAAAGGGCGCGUAGGCGGGAUAGCAAGUCAGAGGUGAAAUCCCGCGGCUCAACCGCGGAACUGCAUUUGAAACUGUUUUUCUUGAGUACAGGAGAGGUCAUCGGAAUUCCUUGUGUAGCGGUGAAAUGCGUAGAUAUAAGGAAGAACACCAGUGGCGAAGGCGGAUGACUGGACGGCAACUGACGGUGAGGCGCGAAAGCGUGGGGAGCAAACAGGAUUAGAUACCCGUGUAGUC